rnacentral:rRNA from 1 species
UCUGGGCGUAAGCGCACGCAGGCGGUCUGUCAAGUCGGAUGUGAAAUCCCCGGGCUCAACCUGGGAACUGCAUUCGAAACUGGCAGGCUAGAGUCUUGUAGAGGGGGGUAGAAUUCCAGGUGUAGCGGUGAAAUGCGUAGAGAUCUGGAGGAAUACCGGUGGCGAAGGCGGCCCCCUGGACAAAGACUGACGCUCAGGUGCGAAAGCGUGGGGAGCAAACAGGAUUAGAUACCCUGGUAGUCCACGCCGUAAACGAUGUCGACUUGGAGGUUGUGCCCUUGAGGCGUGGCUUCCGGAGCUAACGCGUUAAGUCGACCGCCUGGGGAGUACGGCCGCAAGGUUAAAACUCAAAUGAAUUGACGGGGGCCCGCACAAGCGGUGGAGCAUGUGGUUUAAUUCGAUGCAACGCGAAGAACCUUACCUACUCUUGACAUCCAGAGAACUUAGCAGAGAUGCUUUGGUGCCUUCGGGAACUCUGAGACAGGUGCUGCAUGGCUGUCGUCAGCUCGUGUUGUGAAAUGUUGGGUUAAGUCCCGCAACGAGCGCAACCCUUAUCCUUUGUUGCCAGCGGUCCGGCCGGGAACUCAAAGGAGACUGCCAGUGAUAAACUGGAGGAAGGUGGGGAUGA